rnacentral:lncRNA from 1 species
AUCGAACCUGCAUCCUCAUGGAUACUAGUCAGAUUCGUUUCUGCUGAGCCACGACGGGCACUCCCAAAUCUUUUUUUCCUUUUUAGGGCCGUACCUGCGGCACAUGGAAGUUCCCAGCCUAGGAGACAAAUUGGAGCUAUAGCUGCCGGCCUGCGCCACAGCCACAGCAAUGUGGGAUCUGACAGGCUUACUUUUAAUAACUGUUCCAAGCUCUGCCCAAGCAUUUGCUGCCUCCGGGAAGCCUUCCUAAAGCUGUAAGUCGCUGGCCAGGCGCCCAGGCACCCUGUGUUUCUCCCAGUGUUUUCUCUCCCCAGCACCUAUGAGCUCAGCCCCCAGCCCAAGCCGAGCCCAGGUGUGUGCUCAAGAAAUUGUCUAAACAGGUCCUGAGCCUCCAUCUGGCACCCUGAGGAAGCACCACCACCAGCCAGUGUGGCCAAGGGGAGCCCAGGACUCUAGGUUCCAGCCUGUGCUGGAGCCCCCCAGCCCCCAGGCCACCCUGGCCCUUUCUCCUCUCUUGCCAGGCUCUUCUCCCCAGGCUGCCCAGCCCAGCUCCCCACGCCCUGCUGCAGCUCCCCACGGUAGCCUCACUCCUGCCUGCUUUUUAUAAAAUGGGCUUUGGGGAACAGUUUUAUUUGUUGUAUUUGUUUUGUCUUUUUAGGGCCGCACCUGCGGCAUAUGGAGGUUCCCAGGCUAGGGGCUGAAUCGGAGCUGUAGCCGCCGGCCGGCACCAUAGCCACAGCCAAGCCAGAUCUGAGCGGGAACAGUUUUAUUUGAAUAAAAAGGUUUCAGCUACUAAAAAAUUAGAAUUUAAACAUUGGUAACAAGACCUGGGAAUACAGUCCAAAUUGCUUAAUCACAGGAACCGGUUCUUGGACCCUUUCUGCACGCUGGGCGCUUGCAUACAUUAAUCUCCACAGCCUCGAGAGGUAUCUGACAGAAACCUGUUUGGGGGAAGAGGCGGCAUGUUCAGCCGCCUGCUCUGGUCCCUCUGUGGAGGCCCAGCUCAGAGGCUCCUUCCCUGGCUGAGGUUUCUGCCCUCUUCCUCUACCUGCCCAGCUCCGUGGGCCUCUCCCACAGCCGCCUUAUCUCAUUCACUGCAGGGUUCAGAGCUCUGCGAGCUUAUCUUAUCCUUGUGCUGGUCCCAGACUCCUUGAGGGCAAAGUCCAGGACUCAUUCAUCCUCCUCGUCUGGGCAGCCCCAACACAGUGCGGCCAUAAAAAAGGAAAAAAAGAAAGGAAACUUGUGCAAGGCAGACCCAGCUCCCUCUGACUGGCUCCUUGAUCACCAUGGACCUGUGCCCUUUUUCCGGCAGGCCCUGGGGUGGGCCUGUGCAUGUCUUGCCUCGCCAGGAUCCUGA